rnacentral:misc_RNA from 1 species
GAUGAAGAACGUAGCGAAAUGCGAUAAGUAAUGUGAAUUGCAGAAUUCAGUGAAUCAUCGAAUCUUUGAACGCACAUUGCGCCCGCCAGUAUUCUGGCGGGCAUGCCUGUUCGAGCGUCAUUUCAACCAUCAAGCCCCCGGCUUGUGUUGGGGACCUGCGGCUGCCGCAGGCCCUGAAAACCAGUGGCGGGCUCGCUAGUCACUCCGAGCGUAGUAAUACAUCUCGUUCAGGGCGUGCUGCGGGUUCCGGCCGUUAAAAGCCUUAUUUACCCAAGGUUGACCUCGGAUCAGGUAGGAAGACCCGCUGAACUUAAGCAUAUCAAUAAGCGGAGGA